rnacentral:rRNA from 1 species
AUUGAACGCUGGCGGCAGGCCUAACACAUGCAAGUCGAGCGGAUGAAGGGAGCUUGCUCCUGGAUUCAGCGGCGGACGGGUGAGUAAUGCCUAGGAAUCUGCCUGGUAGUGGGGGAUAACGUCCGGAAACGGGCGCUAAUACCGCAUACGUCCUGAGGGAGAAAGUGGGGGAUCUUCGGACCUCACGCCAUCAGAUGAGCCUAGGUCGGAUUAGCUAGUUGGUGGGGUAAAGGCCUACCAAGGCGACGAUCCGUAACUGGUCUGAGAGGAUGAUCAGUCACACUGGAACUGAGACACGGUCCAGACUCCUACGGGAGGCAGCAGUGGGGAAUAUUGGACAAUGGGCGAAAGCCUGAUCCAGCCAUGCCGCGUGUGUGAAGAAGGUCUUCGGAUUGUAAAGCACUUUAAGUUGGGAGGAAGGGCAGUAAGUUAAUACCUUGCUGUUUUGACGUUACCAACAGAAUAAGCACCGGCUAACUUCGU